UUUUGUUGUUUAAAAAGAAAAAAAAAACACUUUUUUUUUUUUUGGUUUAAAAGCAAGGCAUGCUUUGAUGACUCUUGUGAUGACUAAUUUGUUGAAGCCAUUCCCUGGUUCCAACCUGGAGAGUAAUGAGUAAUCUGGGACACUUUUGCACCCCCCACAGCCUUUUUUGGUGUAGGGGGAGUGUGUGUGGGGUUUAUUUUUUAGUCUUUUUUAAAAAAAUUAACUGAUGGACAGCCAUUAGGAGAGGAGGACAAAUGGAUUCCACAUUCCACUUCCUAGAUCUAGUUUAGAAAAAUGUGUUCCCCACCUGGUGCUCUUAGGAAGGAGUAUAGUAAAUGCCUCAUUUAAUAACAUACUCCUUUUUGAAAGUUGCCUUUUCUCUCCACCCUUGAGUAGAUCCAGUAUUUGAUGAAAUUCAUGAAAAUGGGUGGCAGCUGUCUUGCCCUCCUCUUUUCUAAGACGCACUCCUAUAUGUGACUAUGACUUUGAAGGAAAUUUGUUUGCCGUUUUUUUUUUUUUUUUUGGGGGGGGGGUUCAUUUCUAACUUCUUUCAUUGAUAAAUGAAGAAUAGUAUUGCACCUUUUGAAAUACACCAAAUGAAUUUAGUUUGUAAUUAAAAAACAAUUUUUUUCCCAUCAUUGUUUUGUAUACUUAGCAUAGAUUUGCAACUCACUGUGUGGUGGUCCUAGAACCCAGUUGAAGACCUGGCACACAGAACAACUAUGAGGGGUGGUGCUAGAAGACAGAUGCCUGCAGGAUGACUGGCAUCCUUUCAGGUUUGAGGAUGUGGGCCUGCUUCAUGAAGAAGCUGGUGGUGGAUGGGGUGGGAGAACAUUUACCUACAAGGGGACUGACCAGUUGGGAAUCCCCUUAUUUCUGUUUUGCAUAUGAGGCCCCCCUAGCCCAGUGAUAUUCUUUAAUGAAAAUCAUGGGGAGAGUCUUGUGGAGAGUCUUCAUAAGUGUUAAUAGGGAUUAUUUUUUUCAGCUUAUUUGGUUGCAGUUUCCAGUUUUUAAAAAUGUUUAAUCUUUUUCCACUUUCCCCAAAUCCUAAAACUUGUAGAUUCAUUAGUGUUGAACCAAUGCUUUUUUCUGUCUCAAUUCUUUGUAUAUGCAUUCUUUUCCGAUGUAUUAAACAAACAAAAACCCUUCAAAAAAAAAAAAGGAUGCUCAAGAGGCCCCACCUUUAAG
rnacentral:lncRNA from 1 species